CAUCCUCCAAGGCUAAAUACUCCUGACUGACCGAUAGUGAACCAGUACCGUGAGGGAAAGGCGAAAAGAACCCCGGCGAGGGGAGUGAAAAAGAACCUGAAACCGUGUACGUACAAGCAGUGGGAGCCCCACCACUAAGCCAGUGGUGAACUCCACAUCCGCAUCCUUUGCUGAGGAUACGGUUAACGGAGCGAAAGCGACGUUCAACCGCAAAACAAGCAGAGGGGGCUUAGUGGUGGGGUGACUGCGUACCUUUUGUAUAAUGGGUCAGCGACUUAUAUUCUGUAGCAAGGUUAACCGAAUAGGGGAGCCGGAGGGAAACCGAGUCUUAAUUGGGCGUUAAGUUGCAGGGUAUAGACCCGAAACCCGGUGAUCUAGCCAUGGGCAGGUUGAAGGUUGGGUAACACUAACUGGAGGACCGAACCGAC
rnacentral:rRNA from 3 species